rnacentral:lncRNA from 1 species
GGGGUGAGAACUAACUUCCUUAGUUCCCAGUGGGUUCGGCCGCCGACUCCGCCGAUCUCCCCACUAGGUCCAAGUUGGGCACAAGUAGAUAAUCGAUAGAUAGAUAGAUAAGGAAAGCGGUAAAUGACAGAAGUAAAGCUACUCUACUAUGCCCAAUCAUAAAUAUAUGAAUGCAUGUACAAUGAAAUAGGUAAGCAACUAACCUGUUAUCAUGUCCAAAGGUGAAGCUAUUCACUCGUUCAUUAACCUCAUUUACUUGUUCAUUAAUCUCAUGGCUUACCCGAAGGCUCGCCUACAGCUCACUAGCCAUCUCGACGCGUAGGGAGAAUUAACUCAUACUACGAACCCGAGACCGUCUGGCGGGGCCAAAAUAGGCAAUCCCUUGGGACCCAAAAUAGGCAAUCCCACGUGACCAACUCCGGAGCGCACUACUUGUGUGGGGCUUCCAUCACAAGAUUUAAAAACAGACCGUGAGCAUGAUCCAAUCCUCGUCUCGAGAAUACCCUAUCCUCUAGGGUUACAAUCAUCAUAUAGUCCAUAGGUUUCAUAUACACUACGACUCACAUAUGUCACUUGUUCUUUUGUUUACUAUCAACUAGAUGCCACUCGUUCUUUACAAGUUUCCAAUGCAAUAGCCAAUACAUUACUAAAUUCCCAUCCACACUUAUCAUCUCAUUAUAGGGUUCCACAUCACAUAUAUAAACCUCAAGCAUGCUAGAUAUAAGUACUAAGCCAAAUACAUUAUUCUACCAAAGAACAUGCAAGGUAUAGGACCAAACCAUCAUUUAUCACCCUAUAAUGCAAGAUGUCAAUAUGCAAUUUGAUCAAUAUAAAACUUAGACAUAAAAGGGAGUCCGGUUGCUUCGGGAUGGACACCACCCACCUUUUAUCGCGUUCCGAUUGCUCGUCGUCACUCGCAAUCGGCCUCCCGCGGCUCACGCCGCUCGGCUCGACCCAAACCACACGCGACCACCGAACGACCUCCGAUCCGCGAUCCGGUUAUUAAAGGUCUUCGGUUCUUCGUUACGAUGCUCGGAAUUCGAUCUCACUAUUUAUGGAAGCCGCCUCGGCUCCUCGGGUCAAUACGAACCCACGGACACUUGUUUCAGCCGGAACGUCGCACCCGCUCGACGAAUCGACGAACCGUCGCUUCCCACGCGUUCGGACACCUAUCAAUUAGGUUUAUAUAGGGUUAAUAGAGAUCAAACCCAACUAUUUACAAAAAACCCCAUUAUGAAGCCCUAGAUGCCGUUGAUGCUAAAUACCCCAAAUCAAUCCAAGAUUUAGGUAAUAAUUUAUUUUACUAGCAUCCUAGGAUUCCAAAAACACCACUUGUAGAGAUCAAAACCCAUGAUCUAUCAAGAAAUCCAAUUCAAGCCCUAGGUUUACAACUAGGCAAUAAACCACUAUUAGAGCUUUGGAUUUAAGCAUAAUCCAUCUAAUUAGCAUCUAGGAAGGCUACUAAACCCAUUUCUAAAGCAUUAGGAUCAAACUCUAGAAAUCUACCAUGAGAGGGUAUCAAGCUUACCUCUCUAGGUUUGCUCCAAGGGUGAGAGGAAGAAGAAGAUGAUGAUGGUGAUGAUGCUUCUCUUCUUCUCCUCCCUCGUCUUCUUCUCCUUUCUUCUCUUAUCCUCUUUCUUCUUCUCUUUCUUUUCUUUCUAGAGAGAGAGAGGGAGAGUUUUAGGGUGAGAGGGAAGGGAGAAAAGGCCCAUCUCUCUUCUAUACACUCACAUGAGUGCAAAAUUGCAUAAAAACCCCUCAACAAUGCAUCUCUCGCCACAGCCCAAAAUGGGCAUUUUCGCGCUCGGGACCGGUCCUUGCGAUGAGAGACUGGUCCCUGAGAGACCGGUCCUUGGCUGAGAGACCGGUCCCCGAAGGUCCAGAACUCAGCCUCAAGAACUUAGCCAAAUUUUCAGCAUUUUCGCCCGUUUUCGUCCGUUUUUGCAGUUCGGAACAGUUGGAGCCCUUCCAAAUGUCCGUUUAAGCUCAAAUUUGACAGACAGACUCAGUUUAACGUAUUGAGUAAGAAUAUAUUUUAAGUUUUCAGUUUCAACCCCAUUUGGUCACCGAAAACUGUGCCGAACUGUAAUCUUUAUCAGAUAACUCUCGGAUUUUAUUUCUCACUCUACAGGUGUCAGAAAAAUAUGAAACUUUAAAUCUAGCCUCAUAAAAAUAUUUCUGACUUAUCCUCUAAUUUUCAUAAUUUUCUGAGACUGUGCAUUUUCUGCUAAUUUAUCUGUCCCGUUUCCAACAGAAAAUUCUAGAUCUUCUAUUUUCAUUCCGAUUUCGGCACAAGUCAAUUCUGACUUAUGUUUUACUUCUACAAAUCCAAUAAAAAUAGUUCUCACACUA